UACUUACUCUCUCCGUCCCUAAAUUCUCGUCUUAGAUUAGUCUAGAUAUGAAUGUAUUUAAUACUAAAACAUGACUUUAUACAUUCGUAUUUAGACAAAUCUAAUACAAGAAUUUUGGGACGGAGGGAGUACAAU
rfam:Triticum aestivum genome assembly, contig: Triticum_aestivum_CS42_TGACv1_scaffold_212470_3AS